rnacentral:rRNA from 2 species
CAUGGCCGUCGUCAGCUCGUGUCGUGAGAUGUUGGGUUAAGUCCCGCAACGAGCGCAACCCUUGUCAUUAGUUGCUACGAAAGGGCACUCUAAUGAGACUGCCGGUGACAAACCGGAGGAAGGUGGGGAUGACGUCAGGUCAUCAUGGCCCUUAUGGGUAGGGCUACACACGUCAUACAAUGGCCGGGACAGAGGGCUGCCAACCCGCGAGGGGGAGCUAAUCCCAGAAACCCGGUCGUAGUCCGGAUCGCAGUCUGCAACUCGACUGCGUGAAGUCGGAAUCGCUAGUAAUCGCGGAUCA